AUUCUCUCUCCCUCUCUCUCUCUCUCUCAACAGACCAGGGCUCUCAAUGGCGGACUCCUUAACUCGUUCUCAUGUUGAAGCCAGACUCUAGGGUUUCUCUCUUUGACACUGCAUGGCAACUUCUCUUUGAUUCCGCCUUUCCACAUUCUUGGUCAAUAGAGUUGUGCAAGUGCUGAAUCAAUCCAGUAGGCAGUUGAAUUUCCCAUACAUUGCCUGUACAUUCAUGGGGUUAAUGCAUGGAGGUUUUACCAAGUGCCUUCAAUAGUAGCUGAUGCAAUUAUAUUGGAAUAUCCUUCCCCAAAAGCAACAUUGUGCGUUGACACAUUAUUGGGUUAAACUUGAAGUUCUAGAGUGGAGAUUGUAUCAAACCUUCUUGAGAUAGCAAGAUAAAAAGCAAUGUUGUAUUACAAGAAUUUGGAAGAAUGCAACGGACUGCACAUUAAGUGUCAUUUGUAUACCAUGUUACCUGUUGAACAUUAGAGUCAUGCAGAAUUGAAGUUAACUUGAGGAGGUUGGCUAUGAAGGUGGAAAGAUAUCUUAUAUUGCACAAAAAGGCUGCAAUGCUGCAUUAUUUAUUAUGAGUGAUUGACCUUUUUGACCAUAAGAAAGUUGUUGGUACAUUUGGAGGAAUAAAUUUUGGAGUAAUUUGUACGAAAAAUCUGAACAUUUUAUCAAAAGUUGUAUAGAACAUUUAAAACUGUUUGUUAUAUGAAACUUUCGGUCAAUUGGAAGUAGAGAAGUGGCCGCUGCAAGAAGUUUCUUCUAGUAUUUUGUCUACUUGUUACUUCAUAAUUUAAGCUAGGUUAGACAUGGGACUUGAGAGUAUAAUCAUUGCAUUGUUUCCGUAAGUAAAUCAAAGUUGGCGUCAAUGGAACUCAUGAAUGCUAUUCCAAUGUUCAACAUUAUCCAUUAUUUUUCCAAAACAAUACACAAUAUUAAUAAGUUAAAUGAUAUAUUUUACAGCUUGCUGAAAUAACGCUGAUGAGAAAUUGGGUCAUUGAGGUGGUUGAAAAAUCUGGGGUUUUUAAUAAGAACUAACAUUUAGCAUUUUUCGUUGAAUUUUCCAUUAUUUAGGCUUGAUUUGGUUUUUCCUUGGAUGUCAAAUGACAUUUCUAUUAAUGAUAUUGGAGAACUGGCCAUUGAUAGAGAGCUAUUACUCAUUUUAUAUGAAAUUUAAUCUCCAUCUAGGUAGUUAAACAUAUUUUACUUAAGGAUAAAAUAUAUAUAUAUAUAUAUAUAUAUAUAUAUAUAUAUAUAUAUACAGAAUUGUUCGCAAGAAAAUGCAUGCACACUUGAAGUAGUAACCGUCAGAUUCUAUUUGGCAGUUAAAAAGGUAGUUUACGUUUUUAUAUCCAACGGUGAUGAUUUAAUUCGUGUAUAAAUUCCUUGCACACCAAUGAGCAGGUGAACAGUCGUAUAUAUAUGUGUGUGUGUGUGUGUGUGUGUGUGUGUGUGCGUAUACUUGUAGAAUCCUUUUGGUUGUUGAGAAAAGUAAGUUAAGGAAAGGAUAAAAAGAGCUGCUUUUCUCUACAACUAUUUCGUUUAAAGGAAAGUUUGUGGAAAGUAAGAUUUUAACAUUUCCACAAUGCAUAAUUCUGUAUAAAAUGUAGGAAAGGAUAAAAAAUGCAGUACUUGGUAUAAGUCCAAUAUAAGUGGGGCACAUAUACAGACGUAGAUUGUGCUAUUAUUUUGCGCAAAGUGGCUGCUAUGUGUAAAAUAAUUGGUGUGGCAAUUUGUUUUUGAAGGAGAAAAAAGUUAUUCGUGAGGCCCACUCUUUUUCUUGAUAGCCAAACACUCAAAUUAGUGAGGAAAAACAGUUCCUACUUUUUCUUUUACUUUCCUGUUAUUGAGAUGCUACACAAUAGUGCUAUAUGGAAACAUGGUUUGGCAUUUGUGAGCGAUUAAGUAAUAAAGAAUCAUUCUCUGAUUUCAUAUCUGAAAAUUACUGUGCAAUGCAUGUAUAUAACUUCAAUAGUUUAUGAUAAUAUAUGAUGGAUCCAAUUUCUUUAUGAUAAAAUUUUAUCAGUCUUAAAAGCCUUUAACUUGUAGUUAAACGAAUAAAUUGGGAUAUGCUAAUUUAAGCUGGGAGCCUGGGAACAAUGACAAACUAAUGACAAGUCUUGCUCUCGAUGCUGUUGAGGCGUGGUACAUCCUGUGUAACAUCUGGAAUGAAUUCUGUUUCUCCUUGAAAGCUCUAUAUGCUUGUUUAUUUAUGUGUUCUGAAAGAAUGUAAUAGAGGAUUUCUAGAGGGCUAGUUUUAGUGGAAGUUGGAGGCAUUUGAUGUUUAAGGGCUCAUUCAUAGAAGUUUUAUUUUCAUAUAAAUUUAUCCAUGAUUUUUUUUUUUUGUCCUUUUCUUUUAUGCACAAAUUUUUCUCUUUUUGCCUAGGUUUCCGCAGGAUUAAAUUUUAAUUUUCUCUUAUACAGUUGACUGCAAACAAAGUAGUAUUUCUCAAUUUCUCUGAAUGAUCUCUAUGGUGGAGAUUUUCAAAAGAUUUGUGCAUAUUUAUUUGUUUAGAUGCAAUAUAUAUAUGUUUUUUGUUUUUCACUUUUCUUUUUUGAUUUUUGAUGGGAGUUGGAAAUUUUUAUUAAAGAAACGAAGAAAGAGAAGAACUCAAUAGGAGUGGAAGAGAUUUCCUAUAGGAUGUAGAAUACAAGAGAAGAAGGAAAAAGACAAUUCAAAACGAAAAGCAAGAAAGGAAACAAAGCGCGAAUAGAGGAGGAAGUGAUUUUUAGGAUAACAUACUAAUGAGAUGCUCUAAAGGGGCAGACUCCGAACCCUUCAAUAGAUAUUGAGUGCUUUGCAAAUCUAGGGCUGAGAUGCUGUAUCAUUUAUUAAUCCAUUGCCCCUCACUUGUCGAUAUCAACUUAUUGAUGAUUUCAUCCAUUUCUUGCUUGUUUUCUGGAAUUCAUGGUUGGAAAGAAAUGCUUGAAAUUCAUAAGACACUUAUACCUCUUUGGAAGAAGUCUGGGAUGAAGUGCACUCAUGUCUUCCCUCUGUGCUACUUCCAGUUAAAAGUUCAAAGGUAUCUCUAUUGCUGGAUUAGGAUUUGAAAUCAACUACAUUACCUAUUGGUACCUGUUUUCAGUUGAUGUACCUAAAUUCAGCUUGGUGGCUAUUUGAUAGGUAAUCAUGCCAACAUAUAAAGGGCAUCUUAGAAAUCAAGAAGGCAAUGUUAUCACGUAUGUAUCAGCCCUUGUUCUCCUUUUGAAUGCUCCUAUCGUAUAGUAUUAAAGUUUAGUUUUCUAUAAAAAAAGAAAAAGAAAAAGAAAAAGAGAUUUAUUUUAGCAUAUAAAAGAAAGGAAAUGAAAUAAAAAUAUACAAAAGAAAAAAUGUAUUAAACAGUUUAUUAGCUAAACAGUAGGAAUCCCUUGGUGGUUUGUGACAUUGAGGUCUCAUUGGGAUUGAGUUGUAGAUAUAUAUAUAUAUAUAUAUAUAUAUAUAUAUAUAUAUAUAUUUUUUUUUUUCUCCCCCUGAAAGAGCUGAAUAUGCUAAUUUGAAAGCCCUGCAAAUUUUGUUUUUCUUGUGUUUAAAAUGCCAUGUGAGCUUGUGGAACUGGAACCUGAGUUCUAAACUUCCUUUAGAGACCCAAUAUUUGUUUUCCCCACCAAAGAUAUGGCUAAAAGCUGAAGCUUUUAAGAAUAUGAUUAGACACGUAUUCUGUUUUUUGCCACAUUGAAAGUACACCAGGAAAAAAGAAAAUUAAGUUCUCUUCUAUUUGGAUUUUGGAAGCAUGUCUAUGGUAUUUUCCUCUGCAGAAAUGUUUUCCAAGUGAAAGCUUAAGUUUGGGGAGGAAGCAAAUAAAUCAUUGAAUUAUGGAAGUGCAAAUGGAUUGUGCAAAGGAUUUGUGGAAAUUUUAUAGUAGUGUCAGGAAUAUUCUUGAAUUGGUAAAAGAGGAAUAUAUGUACAUGGAGGCUCUCUCUCUCUCUCUCUCUCUCUCUCUCUCUC